rnacentral:rRNA from 1 species
UAGGGAAUCUUCGGCAAUGGGGGCAACCCUGACCGAGCAACGCCGCGUGAGUGAAGAAGGUCUUCGGGAUCGUAAAACUCUGUUGUUAGAGAAGAACACGAGUGAGAGUAACUGUUCAUUCGAUGACGGUAUCUAACCAGCAAGUCACGGCUAACUACGUGCCAG